UACGGAGGGUGCAGGCGUUAUCCGGAUUCACUGGGUUUAAAGGGUGCGUAGGUGGGUUGAUAAGUCAGUGGUGAAAUCCCCGAGCUUAACUUGGGAACUGCCAUUGAUACUAUUGAUCUUGAAUACCGUGGAGGUCAGCGGAAUAUGUCAUGUAGCGGUGAAAUGCUUAGAUAUGACAUAGAACACCAAUUGCGAAGGCAGCUGGCUACGCGAAUAUUGACACUGAUGCACGAAAGCGUGGGGAUCAAACAGG
rnacentral:rRNA from 1 species